GUGGGGAAUAUUGGACAAUGGGCGAAAGCCUGAUCCAGCCAUGCCGCGUGUGUGAAGAAGGUCUUCGGAUUGUAAAGCACUUUAAGUUGGGAGGAAGGGUAGUAACCUAAUACGUUGCUACUUUGACGUUACCGACAGAAUAAGCACCGGCUAACUUCGUGCCAGCAGCCGCGGUAAUACGAAGGGUGCAAGCGUUAAUCGGAAUUACUGGGCGUAAAGCGCGCGUAGGUGGUUCAGUAAGUUGGAAGUGAAAUCCCCGGGCUCAACCUGGGAACUGCUUUAAAAACUGCUGAGCUAGAGUACGGUAGAGGGUGGUGGAAUUUCCUGUGUAGCGGUGAAAUGCGUAGAUAUAGGAAGGAACACCAGUGGCGAAGGCGACCACCUGGACUGAUACUGACACUGAGGUGCGAAAGCGUGGGGAGCAAACAGGAUUAGAUACCCCUGUAGUCC
rnacentral:rRNA from 1 species